rnacentral:tRNA from 1 species
CCAUCAAGAAGCUUUUACAGCGUUAGCCUUUUAAGUUAAAGAUGAGACGAGAGUUUCCUUGAUGA